rnacentral:rRNA from 1 species
CUCUGGUUGAUACGUCAAGAAUGGACAGUUACUCUCUCUAUCGUUCUUCUUUAACAACAGAGCUUUACGAGCCGAAACCCUUCUUCACUCACGCGGCGUUGCUCCAUCAGACUUGCGCCCAUUGUGGAAGAUUCCCUACUGCUGCCUCCCGUAGGAGUCGAGGGAAUCUUCCACAUGGGCGCAAGUCUGAUGGAGCAACGCCGCGAGUUAAAAAAGGGUUUCGCAUUAAAGCCUUUUUUUAAGAAAAAAAGUAAAGAAGUUACUCCGGUAUUUUCCUACGGUAAACACGGCCUCUUACUUCUUGCUUCCGGGUUUUUUUCUGGUUUUAUGACCGCCCCCCCCUCUGCCUCUCUCCCUCCCAUCACGUUGUUAAACAUAUGCAUGAAAUAUUUUCUU